GUGCCAGCAGCCGCGGUAAUACGUAGGGUGCAAGCGUUGUUCGGAAUCAUUGGGCGUAAAGCGCGUGUAGGUGGUUAAGUAAGUCGGGUGUGAAAUCCCUCGGCUCAACCGAGGAAGUGCAUCCGAAACUACUUAGCUAGAGGACGGUAGAGGAAGGUGGAAUUCCAAGUGUAGAGGUGAAAUUCGUAGAUAUUUGGAGGAAUACCGGUGGCGAAGGCGGCCUUCUGGGCCGUUCCUGACACUGAGACGCGAAAGCGUGGGUAGCAAACAGGAUUAGAAACCCCCGUAGUCC
rnacentral:rRNA from 1 species